UAGGUUUGACGCCGGUUGACAAAGCUCUUCAAGUGCAUUAAGAAUAGAAGGAGCUGGUGCCUUCAAUGGUCCUUUGUGCCUAACUCCCCCAACAUGAAGUCGAUGCUGCGGAUUUAGGCACAAAUGACCAUUGAAGGCACUAGCUCCUUCCAUUCUUAAUGGAUUUGAAGAGCUUUGUCAAUCGGCGUCAAAUCUAUUAACCUUUUGAUAUCCUUUUGACUUCAGGGAGCUCACCCUGCUGACUUGUUACAAGUUGAAAUUGGUGAGCAGGGAGCUCAACAUGAAGUCGAUGCUGCGGAUUUACAUCUUAUUGCAAUUAUAGUUGUGAAUGCACAGGGUGUUGGAGUUGUUGUUGUUCCUUGAGUCCCAAAUCUUCUGCCUCGUUCUGUUGGGGGAGUUAGGCACAAAGGACCAUUGAAGGCACCAGCUCUUUCUCGAGACAGCCAAAUAAGGAGGGAGAAGAAGGAUAAACUCAUUAAAAAAUCUAGGAUUUCAAUUCAAGUUGAAAACAACAAGGCACUCUAGAAGUUGAUCCGCAAGGGUUUCACGUAAAAAAUCUCCAAGAAGGUGAACUUUUAGAUUCUUGAUUUUGUUGGGUUUUAUUAUCUUCGGAUAUUCAAAGAUUUAUGGAUUUCGUUGGGUUGAAUAACUUCGGAAAUUCAAAGGAAAAAGAGCUCCUUGAUAAUCUCCAAGAAGUUGAUCUUUUAGAUUCUGGAUUUAGUUGGGUUGUUUUUUUUUCGGAAAUUCAAAGGAAAAAGAACUCAAACUGUAUUACUAUUUGGUAUUAACAACUCAAUUAAAUCCUGGGAAAAUUAGAAAUAAAGGAUGUUUUAUUAAAAGUUUCUCCAUAUAGAUAAGUUUGGUUACAUAAGUUUUACAGAAAUUUUUUUAGUCAAUUAUAUCCUUAAUUUAAAAAUAAAAUUAAGGAUAACUAGAAAUGUGAUUAGCACGAAAAUGAAAAGUUGAUAUGUUGAGGAAGCCAUGGGUGUGGUUUAGUUUAAAAGUGUGAGAUAAUAUUUGCUUUGUUUGAAAAAACAUGGAUUUAUAGAUUAAACUACAUUUAUUUGGCUUAAUGUUUUUACGGCAAAAUUAUCUUCUAAGAUAAAUGUGAGAAUCUUUAGUUUGUAACUUAUAUUCAAACAUACUAUAAAAAAAAAUUACUUGUUUCUAAAUCAUUAUUAUUGUUUGACUACAAAGACGCUCAAUCCAUUGAGUUUUCUAUUUUCUGCCUAUAAACACUGAUUUUAUUUAAUAAGCAAUUUCUUCAAUAGGUAUUUAUCUAAUUAUUCAUAAUGAUCAUAAAAUUUAUAUUUAUAGGAGAAGAUAACUAUUUAAAGUUUUUUAUAUGGUUAUUAAUAUCAUAGUGUAAUAGGGGAAUCUGCUUAGCUUAAAUGUAAAUAAUUUAUAUAUUACCUACUAAAACCAUCAGAUUAAUUAGGUUCAAUUCAUAAUUCAUGAACCAUGUAAGUUUCAAUUUAUUAUGUUAUGGAUUUUGUUGGGUUGGUUUAUUUCAAUUCAUUAUUCAUAUAUAUAAGUCUAUUACCUCUCACAAUCUAAUUUGUAUUAUCUUCAGAAAUUCAAAGGAAAAUAAAUUCAAACUGUAUUACUAUUUGGUAUUAACAACCCAAUUAAAUCCCGCCA